rnacentral:misc_RNA from 1 species
GACGCACAUUGCGCCCUUUGGUAUUCCGAGGGGCACGCCUGUUCGAGCGUCAUUUACACCAUCAAGCCUAGCUUGGUCUUGGACGCGGUCGAGUGACCCGUCCGUAACCCGUUGGCGGUACAGUCCGGCUUCAAGCGUAGCAAAAAUUUCGCUUCAGGAGUCCGCGGCGGUGCCCGCCAGGUAACAACCUCCUAAAGUUUGACCUCGGACCAGGUGAGGAUACCCGCUGAACUUAA